UGCUUGUACAGGACUCGGUUUCCACAUCUGUCUGUGUUCCUCUGACACAGUAUUAAGAUGAUUCAUCGAUCUGUCGUUCUCUUAUCAGACUUACAUGCUUGCUGAGGGUGGGAUGUGUGCCUUACCCAUCACUGCCUGACACAAGGCUUGGCCGGCACUCAAUACUGUGGGUUAGAUGCAUCAAAAGUCAUUUGCAUUUAAAACUUGACAUUUCCCUAUAAAAGGAAAUAACUUUAUCUAAAGGUGGGAGUUUCUAUAGUCUACAUAUCUGUGGGCCCUGCCAGAAAGAGGAAGGAUUAAAAAAAAAAACACAAAAAAACCUGACGUAUAGCAGAGGCUACUACAUUUCUUCCUUAUAGAAAAAAUAUGUUUACCUAAUUUCUAGAAAACAUACUCUAUUGGCCUGUUACUUUUUAUACGUGGGUUUUCUCUAGAUGUAUUUGUGAGAGUUAUUGGAACGUAAAAAUAAGAUCUCAUGUGGUCAUGGUGUCUGGCUAGUCAUUAGAUUCUUCUUCCAUCCUCUCUGUCAGAGAAGAAAGGGGGACAGGUGGGGAAAGGAUAAACAAUAUGCAGAGGGAAUGAAAAAGGUUGUACUUUUAAUGAGCAUAUACUGUUGGCUAGGCGUUAUUCUAAGUCCUUCACAUAUAUUAGUACAUGUAAUCCUCACAACAGCCUUGACGGAAAUAUUUUUUCCAUUUCGUAGACCAAGAAAGUUAAUCAUGUGAAGGUUAAACACUUUACCUAAUAUCACACUGUGAGUAACUUGGGACAUCAGGAUGAUGACAACGAUAAUGGUAAUAAUAACAAAAGUAAAAUAAUAAAGUGACAAGAGCAGUAAUUAUUACUGAGAGGUACGCCAGGCACCAAUAAAUCUUCUACUCCUAACAACCUGAAAGAUUUAUUAUGUGGAAGACAUUAUUACAUUUUUAACAGGUGACCAAAUGGGAACUAAUGAGAUUAAAUCAAUUGUCAAGGACAACAACUUAAGGGGUGGAGUGGGCCUAAAAUCCUCUAAUGCCAAACCUGUCUUUGUUUGACUAUACCAUGUUGCUUUACCUCUCAGGCUAAGUCCUAAACACAUCUGAGAUUUACCACCUGCUAUGCAAAGUUACUCUUUUGUUCCAACUCAACAUACUGGGGAAUCCUCAGUAAUCCUCCCCAAUAGAUCCAUUAUGCUGACUGAGGCUAGGGCAAUGUGGAAAAAGUAGGGCUGGGAUUUCUGUUUAAAAUACAGUGCUACCAGACUGAUGGAAGAGACCUACACCACCCUCCGACCAGAGAAAGGGAGGACCACUCCCUUGCCUGUCUAGACCUUCUAAUGCUCACAGACGGGUGUUGGGUGACAUUUCAAAGUGAUUGUUUUGGUGGACCCAUGUCUGUUUCUUUUCCCCUUCCUUUAGUAGGAAGUUGUCCCCAGACUCACCAUCUCCCAUCUCAUCAGAGAAGGGAAGGCUAAAGACAGCUUCAUCAAUCAUCCGGUUGGGAAGGUUGGU